CCGGGUUUAUGAGUUGGACUUGUUAUGAUCUGAGUCCGAGUCCGAUUGCUGUUAAUUAAGUGUGAUAAAUCUGCACAAGUACACAAGUUAUUAGAAUUAACAAAUAGGUCCUUUCUUGACCUGAUUUAGUUUUGUGUUAUUUAUAUAAAAGCCCUUGAGUUUAAUACAUAUAGUUUAUGUAUUAAAAUCUUAUUAAAAUAACUGGAACUUUUAUAUUUUAACCCUUUUGUAAAACUGUCCCAGUUAUACUUUGGGAACCUUUUUUUUUUUUUUUUGAAGCAAUUAAAUUUCAUUAGAAUAAGACUAAUGCCAAGUUUACAAAAUAGAGAAUAGAAAUAAAAAUAGAAGUAAAAAGAAAUGAGCAAAAUGCUCAUUGACUCUCUCCCAUUAGCUAUGUAGUCUAGUUAUACAGUAACUAGAUACGCUGUCUCAGAAGGUUGGUCUCUCAUACUUCCAUCAUAGAUAUCUCCAAAGGGUGACAACAGCUCUUCUUGUAAUACACUGAAUCAAAGGAGAGACUGAUGUCUUUAAUGACCUCCUUAAGGACUACCUCAGGAGACCUACUAAUGUGCUGCCUAUACCUUUUAUUUCUUUCCGUCCAUAUAUACUUUGGGAACCUUUUAUUCUUUUUUAUUACGUUUAGGUCCAAUUAACGUUUUUAUUGAAAUAUUUAUAGAUAAGCCCUUGUUAGUUAUAAACAAAGCAGUUUAUUUUGUUUUGUCAUAACCCUUGGGUUAUCUAUAUUUCACUUGGGUCCUAAACUUGUUUCUUGUGGUAAAUUGAUAUUUUACCUUAGAUUUCAGUUAUAUUCUUAUAUGACUGAACUGAUCCCUGAUCAGACCACAUGAUAGAAAUAACAUCAGUGUACAUUAUCUAUGAAGCAAUUUCUUUGAAGACAGAACUUCAUAACCACUGUCGGAUAACACCAUGGCAUGUGAGUCAUGCCUCAUAUUCUUCAGAUUUAGUGUCAGUAGGUUCUUUAACUGUACCCAAGACGAAACCAAGCUUCCUUCUAGUUAUUAGAGCUGUGGUCAUUUCCCUAUUCCAGGGAUAGUAAUUUUCAGAACCUGUCAGUAUGUGAUUCAUGGACAGUGGCCCAUAGUCAGAGCUCUUUAGAUAAUAAGGAGAGAUAGGGUCAAACAAUGGCCCCCCUAGUGGUUUUGAAGUUGACAUUUUGUUCACUGUUUGACAUAAUUCAUGAUAAAUGACCAUUAGAAGAUAAUAAUAUUUGGAUGAUAUAAAUAGGAUUGAGAGUGAUCAAGACAGAGUUUUAAAUCAAAUAUGUUUGAUGUCAAGUUGAAAGUAUGUAUUAUCCGCCGCAGGCAGGUUCAAAUGUAGUAUAUAGCAAUACGUGAAUUAUAUAUGAAUAAUGCAGUAAUCUGUAGAUCUGUAAUUAUGAAUAAAUUAGUGUGCACAAAAUCUAGAGUGAAAUCUAUAGAUUUUACUUCCUUAUGGAGAUGGCAGAUUGUGAGCAAGAAUACAAUAUUAACUUAUUUGUGAAAAUGUAAGUAUGAAUGAAACAGAUUGUGAUCAAGUUAAAAGAAUGCAGAAAAUAUGUAAACAGUGUGUAAAAAUGUGGGCAAAUGUGAACAAGUGUGUAUGCAAGCACUUACAGAAUCAAGGAUAAGUGCAAAAAUAACCAGUAUCAAUCGAUGAUAAAUUCAGAUAAUGAAUGCAACGGAAGAUUGAAUGUUAGCAGAGAUUUUGUGAUGGGAUAAAGUGCCCACAGGGGAAGAAUCAGAAAAGAAAAUAAAAUGCGAUUUUGGGAUGAUAAAGUAGUGAAACAAUACCUGAUGGAAAUCGCAGAUUUCCUAAUAAUAUGCAUCCUUGAAGCAAAUAGAUCAACGCCGGAUAGUGAUGAAUAGCAAAAGCCUAAACCCGCUCUGAUACCAUCAUAAAAUUACAUACUUGAUUAGGUUUACACAGACAGGAAGUAACAAGAACAAUGAUACCUAAACAAUUGAAUAAAUGUAAACAAAUAAAGAAACACAGUUGCUGCAACCAGAAGUGACGAUUGCCAGAGAUGUGAAUAGAGUCGCUUGAGAAACACGCGAAUUUGGAAAAGGGAAUACUGAUGCAGACUGUCAGGAGCUGCAACUGCAUUGAUCAUAUCGUGGGUGAAGUCUUCCGAUACUUUCAACGCAUUACAAGGAGGCACCGUGGUGGUAGAAUGCAUUUUCAAGGAGUUCACUCUCCUUUUUGUAGGCGAAAGGUCAAAGAUUCACGUGCCCACUCCAUGGGAAUACUGAUGUAGACAUCCCCCUCCCCACAGGGCACAUACCUCUUCCCACCGACGAGGGAGAGGAUUAGGAGUACUGACUAUACC
rnacentral:lncRNA from 1 species